ensembl:lncRNA
CCUUUUGCUUGCUUUACUAGUUCUAUCCCAUGGGGGGGGGCUUAGAAACUGUUGGCCUCAAAGAUGUAUAAAACAUGUUUGUCAACCCCCAGUCGAGGCUCAAGUCCAGUGCUCAGCUUGGGUCCCGGCCGGUAAUAAACUCCUGUGUGGAUUUAAUACCGGUCUCUGGUUGGUUCUCUCUCACUGGGUACAAAAUUCUUAGAUGAAUUUUUCUUACACUCAUCAUUUUUAAGGCAUCUGGGAGUAAAUCAACAGGUUUCGUAGGAUACUGUCUUCAGGUUCCAGUUUCCCACCGGGGGGACCCCAACAAGUGGUGCCUGGAACAGGGACUUAUACAUAUAGGGGCUCAGGUGGUAUCGACGGGACUAGUGGUUCCCACAGCUCCUCUGGAGGAUUUGAUUUCAUUCCAUGAUUCUCCGAAACCUUUAAAAUCAAGGGGUUCACAGAAGUGCUCUUCUAGCUCAUCAGAUUCCAAAAAUGCCGAUUCUGAUCUAGUUACUGAUCCUGAUUAUUCUUCUGAUAUUAUUAAGCUUAUGGCUUGUGGAGAACACUUUGAAAUAAGAUUGAAUUGUAUAACCCUAAGUGUGCUGUAACCCUAAAAGUGUGUUGUGACUUUAAGAGUGCUGUAACCUAUGUGUGAUGUAACCCUAAGAGUGAUGUAACCCCAAGUGGUAUGGAACUGAUAAGGGUGUAGCCCGAGCUGGAUGGGGUGUACCCCGAAUGGGCAGGGUGUGCCCCAAACUGGACAGUGUGAUAAGUCUGAACCAAAACCACAAAUGCCCAGUUAGAAUAGCAUGAAAGGAGCUGAAGACUCCAAGCAAGUCGUCGAUCCGUCCACCAACCAAGACAUCUGCACACCUGAUCCCGCUGGAAGGAGCAUCGCGGCCAACCAGACGAGACCAGAGGACGAGGCAAGCGGAGAGACGGAUAGCCUAGCACCGACUGGACGCCCUUCAUCUACGGAUCGGACCCUCUGACCCUACGGGAGGAAACGUCCGGCUCCCAUAAGGACUUGCGCAGUACAGACCUUGAUAUCUAUGAGACCUCUGGAAAGUGACUUCACCCAGGGGUCCCCAACCUCUGAAGCAUGGACUAGUACCAGACUGUGGCCUACUAAGAAGCAGACCAUACAGCAGGAGGUAAUGAAUGACUUCACUGGUGUUACUUCUUGGACAUCUUGGCCUUUUAAUUAGAAAUUGUGUGCUGCUAUUUGCUAUGAUCAGUGUUUCUCAAAAGCAAGCUUCUUGGGGGCAGAGAAGCUGAGUGGUCCCAGCACCUGGAAGGAAGCUCCCCUGCCACCAUCCCAAGCUCCUAGGGCAGAGAAGCUGAGCCGGUGCCAGCACCUGGAAGGAAGCUCCCCUUCUGCCAUCCCAAGCUCCUAGGGUUGAGAAGGUGAGCCACGUGGAUGCCAGAAGCACACACACACCCCACUCUGUGGAAAUGAGAAGACAUGUAAACAAGCCUCAAAAAAAGACUUCUGGAUCACCUGCAGCAACCCCCCAAAGGGAAACGAGACGGAACAAUCUGAUACUGAUACUCAACCACCUGGACUCUCUGAACUGGCAACAAAAGAGGAUCUGGGAAAAAUGAAAUCAGAAAUAAUUACUCAGAUAACAGCAAAGAGUUUGCUCGUGGUGCAAGACAUGAUUAAUAAAUCUAGAGAGGACACACAUAAAAAAAAACUUUUGACUUCAUCUCCCUAAUGAGUGUAUAAUUCAGUCUUAUUAUUGUACUGAUUAGUAUUUUUCUGAUUCUAGAGUUGCACACCAUUCCCUGUGCUAUACUGGCUAUUUAUCAUCUUCUUAUGUCUACAUUUUAAUUGGGUUGUCUAUUAAUGAGCUCUAAGAAUUCUUUAUAUAUUCUGCUCAUAGGUUAUAUGCAUG